UGGGGUGUCUGUCGCCUUUUGAACUCCCAUUGAGAUAAUCAGCUUUUGGACAUAUGACAGUAUGUCUCCCCCCUCUACCUGUUCAGGUAUGCCUCUCAGGCGUACAUUUCGUCUCCGGUGCCGGGACUCCAGUGUGGUCACUAUUUUGUGCAGUUGUUUGACCUGUGAGGCGAGACCCUCCACCCGUUGUGUAGUCGUCUUGAGUUGAGUAUCCCGAGCUUGUUCUCUGACCUCAGCUGCUGAUACUGUAUGCUGCAGGGCUUUUAUGUCAGCUUGCGUUUCUUGGAGGUCUGACUUCCACACUUCCCUUAG